rnacentral:rRNA from 1 species
GAUGAACGCUGACAGAAUGCUUAACACAUGCAAGUCAACUCUGGCAUACAGGUGAGUAACGCGUAAAGAACUUGCCUCACAGUUAGGGACAACAUUUGGAAACGAAUGCUAAUAACUGAUACUGUUAGAGAGCUUUGCGUCCCAUGAGCUAGGUGGAGAGGGAACGGCUCACCAAGGCGAUGAUGGGUAGCCGGCCUGAGAGGGUGAUCGGCCACAAGGGGACUGAGUCACGGCCCUUACUCAUACUUGAGGAAGCGUUGGUGAAUAUUGGACAAUGGACCAAAGUCUGAUGCAGGAUUUCUGUGUGCACGAUGAAGUUUUAGGAAGGUAAAGUGAUUUCAGUUGGUAAGAGGUACCAACAGAAUAGGCGACGGCUAAAUACGUGCCAGCCGCCGCGGUAAUAG